UACGAAGGGCGCAAGCGUUAUCCGGAAUUAUUGGGCGUAAAGAGCUCGUAGGCGGUUUGUCGCGUCUGCCGUGAAAGUCCGGGGCUUAACUCCGGAUCUGCGGUGGGUACGGGCAGACUAGAGUGAUGUAGGGGAGACUGGAAUUCCUGGUGUAGCGGUGAAAUGCGCAGAUAUCAGGAGGAACACCGAUGGCGAAGGCAGGUCUCUGGGCUGUAACUGACGCUGAGGAGCGAAAGCAUGGGGAGCGAACAGG
rnacentral:rRNA from 1 species